rfam:Aureobasidium pullulans var. melanogenum CBS 110374 unplaced genomic scaffold scaffold_5, whole genome shotgun sequence.
UCCGGUGUGGUCUAACGGCUAGGAUUUCUCGCUUUCACCGAGGAGGUCGGGGUUCGAUUCCCCGCACCGGAA